rnacentral:rRNA from 1 species
UACGUAGGGUGCGAGCGUUGUCCGGAAUUAUUGGUCGUAAAGAGCUCGUAGGCGGUUUGUCGCGUCGGCCGUGAAAACUUGGGGCUUAACCCCGAGCCUGCGGUCGAUACGGGCAGACUUGAGUUCGGCAGGGGAGACUGGAAUUCCUGGUGUAGCGGUGAAAUGCGCAGAUAUCAGGAGGAACACCGGUGGCGAAGGCGGGUCUCUGGGCCGAUACUGACGCUGAGGAGCGAAAGCGUGGGGAGCGAACAGG